UACGAAGGGUCCAAGCGUUGUUCGGAAUCAUUGGGCGUAAAGCGAGCGCAGGCGGAUCAGCAAGUCAGAUGUGAAAUCUCGAAGCUCAACUUCGAAACUGCGUCUGAAACUGCUAGUCUAGAAUGUCGGAGGGGAUAGGGGAAUUUCACGUGUAGGGGUAAAAUCCGUAGAGAUGUGAAGGAACACCGGAGGCGAAAGGCGCCUAUCUGGACGACUAUUGACGCUGAGGCUCGAAAGCGUGGGGAGCAAACAGG
rnacentral:rRNA from 1 species